rnacentral:lncRNA from 1 species
AAAAUAAAAAGAGAUGUUAUAAAUGAAAAACAAAAUUAAAAUAAAAUACAAUAUUAUAUACUUAGCUUGCCUAUUUCCUUGGAAUGACACUUUUAAUGAAAUUAUUGAGUAUAGAACUUGUCACGUAUCUAUUGCUUAUUGGAUGGCGCUAGCUAGCAUGUAGAUUUUCCCUUCUUUAUUUAUUAAAUGUACUUCUUUUUAUUCAAAUAUAAUGUUAUUCUACUUCAUUUGAAUAAAUGUACUUCUUUUUAUUCAAAGACAAUGGUAUUCUACUUCAUUUGAAAAAAUGAUAUUCUACUUUAAGGGAAAAAAAGAUUGAGUUAAUUUGCACAAUGGAUUAGUCACACUAUAUGUAUCCAACUAAAACAAAUAGUAUAGGUAUGAUGAUAGGUCACACAAUGUACCGACACAAAUAUUAUAAGUAUAUGUUAUUCAUAUGAGUUGAAUUUAAAACUCUCCAUUUACAAAUGAUGAUUGAUGAGAAAUAUCAUUAUAUACUGUAAUCUUAAUCCAGUUUUAUUAUAUUUUAAAUGUGGUAGGAUGCCCUCGGAUAAG